UCGGAUAUGGUGUAGUGGCUAACAUACGACGCUCUCAUUCACGAGUUCCCGUCGUGCCCGGGGUUCGAUUCCCCGUAUCCGAG
rnacentral:tRNA from 1 species